rnacentral:lncRNA from 1 species
UGAACAAUGAAAUAAAAACUCUAUCUCGGAUACAAAAGGAAAUAAUACAUAAAUAGUAGAAGAGAUGUCGGGCCUGCGGACGCCUGUAGGACUACCUCGGUAUCUCGUGGACUGAAGUAUGGCUCCCCGCUACUGGUGCACUCUGCAAGCUGCCCCGGUGUCUGCACAUAAAAGAGUGUAGCAUCAGCACAAACCGACCCCAUAUGUUGGUAAGUGUCUAGCCUAACGUCGGCGAGGUAGUUACGAGGCUAGGACCAUACUCCAGAUAAACCUGUGCAGUCACAUAUGAUAUAUGGUGGAAAAGUAAACAAGCAAUAAGUAGUAGAAGGGAGGGAGUACGUGCUUCGGGGGAACAAUUUAAUCUAUCAUAAAUCAAAUUAAUAGGAAGGGACAAUACUAUAUUUGAAAUAAUAUAAUAUUACUACUGUUGCGGCGCGCAACCCGACCCAUAUGCAUACUAUAGUUGUUGCGGUGUGCAACCUGGUCCAAUAUGAUAUCUGUUGUGGCGUGCAACCCGAUCCAAUGUAAUAUAUGUUGCGUCGUAUAACCCGAUCCAAUACAUAUCUUUUGUGGCGUGCAACCCGAUCCAACAUAUAUAUUUCCAUUAAUAAAGAUGUUAUGGUGCACAACCCAUUCCAAUGUACUACUUACUGUGAUCACAACAAUAAUCCUGGCAAGGGACUGACCAUAAAUUACACUUUCCCGGUAAGUGAACUUAAAAACAUAAGUAUAAACGUCCCGACAAGGGAGAAUCAGCUAUAACCAAAUAUCAAUUCAGCUUCUAAACAUCACUACUAUCAUCAUUUUCAACUCUCGAAUACUUCUAUGAAAAUAACCUAAACCUUUGCUCAACACCACAGAUUUUUCCACUAUUUCAAUCAUAAUAUUAUUCAAGAAUGCACAAGUAUCAAUUUAAGACCCACGGUCAUGCUUGACACCAACGUAUGGAUACUCGUCACCAUGCCUAUAUGUCGUAUCUAACAAGAAAAAUAUUGAAAAUAUGAUUCAACUCAUGAUCCCUCAAGCUAAGGUUAGACCAAACACUUACCUAAAACUUUCACAGCAAUUCAAUCCUCAAUUACCACUUUUCCUCUCGAACUCGGCUCCGACUCAAUCAAAAUAUAUACAAUAAUGACUUUAUAUUAUCAAUAUAUACCAAGCAAAUCAAACCCAAUGCCUAAAUAUAUAUUUCCAAGCUUUCUUUCCAAAAUUCUAAAAUCGACCCUGGGCUCGCUUGGUCAAAUCACGAGGUUCAGACCAAAUUCACAUCACCCAUUACCCCACGAGCCCGAAUAUAUAAUUUGUUUUCAAAUUCGACCCUAAAAACAAGGUCUAAAUCAAGAAAAAUCGAAAAGCCCUAGCUCUACCCAUUUUCCUCAAUUUCUACCCUAAAUUACUAACACACAGAGUUUUGUGAAUAAUCGCUUCAAAAGUCGCCCCAAUGAGGUGUGGAGAAGAAGACGUUAUGAAAUUUUGAUGUUGGUCCACAAUGGUUCUGUUCCUGAUCGUUUGAAAAACUAGGCGAAUUUGCUCUAUGCGAUCGCGGAAGAGGGAUUGCGAUCGCAUAGGGUAUGGUUUGUUGUGCACUAUGAUCGUGGAUUUCUUAAUGCGAUCGUAUACUAAGAUAAAAUGAAGGCUGGAGUUUUGUGCAUUGCGAGCAGAGAGAAGGAUGCGAUCGCAUAGAAUGAAGUGGAUAAGGUACGCAAAACUAAGAGAUCGCGGAAGCUCAUAUGCGAUCGCAUAGAACAACAUACCAGAACACCAGAAUGAAUAUUUCUGCAACUUUUCUAAGUCCGAAAACACUCCGAAACACCUUCGAAACACCCCCGAGCCCUCAGGUCUCCUAGCCAAUCUCACACAUUGACAUAACCACAUCCUAUGAACUUAACUGUAAGAUCAGAUCGCCAAAAUAACAUAAAAAUUGAGGAAUCAAACCUCAAAAUCAUUACUUUAUAAUCAAAUUUCAUAAACUUUAAUUUUUAGAGAUUUAUGUCCGAAACACGUCAAAUGAUGUCCGAUUUCAACCAAAUUUCACAUAAACUUCUUAAAACACAUAUAAGACUCGUACCAGGCACUGGAACCAAAAUUCUGGCCGAUACCAAUACGUUCUAAUCCAUUUUCAUUUUAAAUUUCCUUAAUAAUUUUAGAAAAUUAAUUUCUUUGAAAAAUUCAUUUCUCGAGCUCAGGACUUUGGAUUUGAUUUCGGGCAUAUGUUCGAGCCCCAUAUUUUUCUACGGACCCUUCAGGACUGUCAAAUCACGGUUUUGGGUCCGUUUACCUAAAAUAUUGACCAAAGUCAACUUUACUCAUUUAAUACCAAAUUUUAGCGUUUAUAUAAUUUCGCAUAUAAGCUUUCUAGUUACGCGUUCGGACUAUGCAUGCAAAUCGAGGCAACUAAAAAUAAGGUUUUCAACGCCUCGGAAGCAUGAAAUGGGAGAGAAAAUAGGUGAUGAACCUUUGGGUUCACAUUCUUUACCUCUAAAACAACUGUUCAUCCUCUAACGGACAAAAGAAAGAAGUACCUGAGUCGGGAAAUAGAUGAAGAUAACGGAUCCACAUAUCGAACUCGGACUCCCAUGUUGAUGCCUUAGGAGGCUAACCUUUCCACUGAACACACUAAAGGAAAACUCUUCGACCUCAACUGUCGAACCUGCCGAUCUAGAAUAGCCACCGGCUCAUCUUUAUAAGACAGAUCCUUGUCAAACUGGACAGUUCAGAAAUCUAGCAUGUGGGCUAGAUCACCGUGAUACCUCCGAAGCAUGGACACAUAAAAACUUGAUGCACGGCUAACAAGCUAGGCGGCAAGGCAAGUCUAUAAGCCACCUCUCCCACACGAUCAAGAAUAUCAAAUGGACCAAUGAACACAGGGCUAAGCUUUCCCUUCUUCCCGAAUUUCAUCACGCCCUUCAUAGGCGACACUCAAAAACAUACUCGCUCACUAACCAUGGAAGUCACAUCUCGAACCUUGCAGUCUGUAUAACUCUUCUGCCCGGACUGAGCUGUAUGAAGCCUAUCCUGAAUGAUCUUGACCUUGUCCAAGGCCUCCUGAACUAGAUCCGUACCCAAUAACCGAGCCUCUCCCGACUCAAACCACCCAUCUGGAGACUGACAUUGUGACGACCCAAAGGGUCAUCACCAUAGUUCUCUCUUUCUCCGUGAUUUCUAGGACUUGAAAACCUCUUAUCUGGUUGUCUCGAUUUGUGUAUGCAGACCGGACGCGAAGCUGGAAAAUUUUUAUGUGGAAAUAUAUAAAUUUUGUGUUAAAAACUAUGAAUUUUGAUAAUAAUAUUGAUAUAGUUGACCUUGGUCAAUAUUUUUGGGUAAACGGACCCAUAUCCGUGAUGUGACAGUCCCGGAGGGUCCGUAGGAAAAUAUGGGACUCGGACAUAUUCCCGGAAUCAAAAUCCGAGGACCCAGGCCCGAGUACGGAAUUUUUGAAAGAAAUUGUUUAUCUGAAAGUGACAUAAAAAAGUUAAAUGAAAAUGAGUUAGAAAAUAUAGGUAUCGGUCUCGUAUUUUGGUUCCGACCGGUACAAGUCUUAAAUGACCGUUAAGCGCUUUCUGUGAAAUUUGGUCAAAAUCGGACGUCCUUUGAAAAUAUGGAAGUUAUGAAAAUUAUGAGUUUUGGGGGUUGAUUCGUUGAUUUUGAUGUUAUUUUGGCGAUUUGAUCGCUAGACUAAGUUCAUAGGAUGUUAUUGAGUUAGUGUGUGAGGUUGGUCGGGAGCCCCGAGGGCUCGAAUGAGUUUUCAGGGGUGGUUCGGGAUGUUUUAGAACCUUGAAACACAUUAGAUUUUUCAAUGCGAUCGCGUUCGCAUAGCGCAGCCUCCAGUCUUCUAUGCGAUUUCGGAAGAUCCCCAGCGUUCGCAUUGUUUUACCAGCUUCUUCAAUCCAUUCGCACUCACCACUUAGCAUUUGCGUAAGACAUUGGACCCCCCGAACUUAACUGUAAGNNNNNNNNNNNNNNNNNNNNNNNNNNNNNNNNNNNNNNNNNNNNNNNNNNNNNNNNNNNNNNNNNNNNNNNNNNNNNNNNNNNNNNNNNNNNNNNNNNNNNNNNNNNNNNNNNNNNNNNNNNNNNNNNNNNNNNNNNNNNNNNNNNNNNNNNNNNNNNNNNNNNNNNNNNNNNNNNNNNNNNNNNNNNNNNNNNNNNNNNNNNNNNNNNNNNNNNNNNNNNNNNNNNNNNNNNNNNNNNNNNNNNNNNNCCCCCGACUUCCUUCUUCGCGAUCGCGUGAUCCCAAUCGCGAUUGCGAUGGCCCCAGUCCUCCUUCAUCGCGAACGCGGACCUCAUGUCGCGAUCGCGUAGGAUAAGUUCCUUCAGCAAUUUUUAUGUUUAAAAAUAGACAGUGCACAGGAGUUUUUCCCAUUUUUCACACGAACUCCUUCCUAAGUUCCUCCAUUGACGAAAUCCAAGCUUUCCUUUCUUGAUAAUCCUUUGGGUAAGUGGUCUUAACUUUGUCCCUUCAUUAUUUCUUCAUCUAAUUAUUAAUUUCCUAGUCCUAUUACAUAAAUCAAGGUAGAAUUUAGGGGAUUUGGUUAGAGCUAGGUCUUUUAUGAUUUUGGGCAAUUCAACCUCAAUUUGAGGUCGAAUCUUAAAACAAAUUGCAUAUUUGGGAGAGAAAAUAGGUGAUGAACCUUUGGGUUCACAUUCUUUACCUCUAAAACAACUGUUCAUCCUCUAACGGACAAAAGAAAGAAGUACCUGAGUCGGGAAAUAGAUGAAGAUAACGGAUCCACAUAAUUUUGGUCUGAGCCUCGAGUUUGGACCAUGCGGGUCGGUGUCAGAUUUUGGUAUUAUUAAAAGAAUGAUCGGAAAUUCAUUCUAGGCUAUGAAAUUGUGUUUUUAAGUCAUUCUUGAUAAAAUUGAACUAGCUAUGGCUAGAUAUCGUUGUUUCGGAGUUGGAUUCUAGAGGAAAAGUGGUUUUACAGACUUGAUUGCUAUUUUCGGACCGAGGUAAGUGUUUGAUAUAACUUUGGCUCGAGGGAAUAGGAUUAGGACAUCAUUUUCUAUGUGUUAUGUGGAGUCGGUGUAUAGGUAUGGUGACGGUUAUCUAUGCACCCGAGUCUAGCCAGACUGUGGGUCUUAAAUUGCUUCAAUUCGAAUAAUGUGGUAUGGCUUGUUGCUUAAAUUGAUUGAGUUCACAUGAUAUGAUCGGUUGAGUACAAGUAGAGACUUGUAUAGGUUAUUGAAGCAUUGGCUCGAUUUAGAGUUGUUGGUAGUUAAGUGUUAGAAGUGGAAGUCCUGUGGUUAUUUCCCUUGCCAGGAUUUUGGUAUAAAAUGAACCAUCCCUUUCCGGGAUUUUGGUAUAAAUUGAACCUUCCCUUGCCGAGAUAAUUGAGCUGUUAGUUAUAUUCCCUCGUCGGGACUCUUGUAUUUUCAUGUUACUCCCCUCGCACUUGAGUUGCGAAUGAUGUUGGGUGAGUUCUUUUGGUGAAUAUCGAGGAUUGGGUUGCAUGCCGCAACGGAUUAAUUAUCGAGGAUCGGGUUGAACGCAGCAACGGUAGUUGAUAUCGAGGAUCGGGUUGAACGCAGCAACGGUAGUUGAUAUUGAGGAUCGAGUUGCACGCCGCAACGGAUUAUUGUCGAGGAUCAGGUUGCACGCUGCAAUGGUAUUAAAUUUUGAGGAUUGGGUUACGCACCGCAACGGGAUAUGGAAUGAGUAUAUUGUUCUGUGUGUUAAUCUUUUCGGUAUUUCUUUAUCAGUUUUUAUCCGCUCAGUUUUCAUUCUUGUUAGUUAAUUUCUAUAUUUCAAUUUUUGUUCCCACAGCAUGCUUCCCUCCCCUUUUAGCUGUCUAUACUAGCGUAUUCUCCUACUAUUGCAUAUAUUUGUACAGGUUAUUUAUGGUAGGUCUUGUCUAGCCUCGUCACUACCUCGCCAGGGCUAGGCCAGGCACUUACCAGCACAUGGGGUCGUUUUUGCUGAUGCUACACUUCUGUGCCUUUUUGUGUACAGAUUAGGGAGCAGCUUACGGACCGCCGCAACAAUUCUAGGCCGGGAGACGACCUUCAGUCCAGAGACUAUUAGGUAGCUUAGCUGACGUCCGCGGGCUCAGAGUCUUAUCUAUGUUAUUUCAGUUUGUUUAUUUAUAUCGAGACUGACUCUUGUGUAUUUUCUUUCAAACUGAUGUUUUUAGUACUCCUUAGUAGUCCGUGAGUGGUGACACAAGAUACUGGGUAGAAAUUUUUAUUUGAGACCUUCAUAUCCUAUAUUUUCUGUUUAAAGUAUUUAAAAGUCUACCGCAUAUUUUAGUAUUUGUUUCAAUUUAUCAUAUUGUUUUAAAUAAAAAUUUUGCGAAAUAUUUAAAUAGUUGGCUUUCCUAGCUCCGGUAGUAGGCGCUAUCACGACCCCCGAUGGUGGGAAAUUUGGGUCGUGACAAGUUGGUGUCAGAGCACUAGGUUACUUGGGUCUCACAACUCAUGGACAAGCUCGGUAGAGUCUGAGGGAUCCCCCAGGGUGUGAAAUCCGGGUCGUGACAAGUUGGUAUCAGAGCACUAGGUUACAUACGUCUCACAACUCACGGACAAACUUAGUAGAGUCUGAGGGAUCGGCACAGAAACGUCUGUAUUUAUCCCCAGAGGCUACAGAGUUAGGAAAAUUUCACUUUGGUCAUUUUUUUCGUGCGAUUUUGUUUCUCAAAUAUUGAUUGUCGUUCCACUCUGUUCUUUCGCAGAUGGCGAGAACACGUGCGUCUUCUUCUACUACACAGCAACCCGAGCCCCCAACAGCAGCUCCCGUGAAGGGCAUAGGCCUAGGCCGAGCCAGAGGCCGUGGUAGGGGAAAAGCUCAGCCUUGGGCACCAGUUGUAGAGAUGGAGCCUCAUAUUGAGUAUGAUGAGGAGGUUCCAGCCCCAGCUGCUCAAGUGGGCCCGGCUCAGCUCCCAGGAGGGCUUAUGUUUCCCCCGGAUCUCCAAGAUGCUCUAGUCCAACUGGCAGGCUUUAUGGAGAGUGUCACUAGAGCGGGUUUGCUUCCAGUAGCACCAGUCACUUCUCAAGCUGAAGGAAGGGUUCAGACUACUGCUACGCGUACUCCGGAGUAGGUAGCUCCCCAGACUUAGGUUCUAGUGGUCCAGCCCGCAGUGGCAGCUCAGACAGAUAUUACGGCUUAGGCGGAGAUGGAGCGGCCAUGUCUUUGGAUGCCUUGUGGAGACUUGAUCAGUUCUCCAAGCUUUUCAUCACCACUUUCAGCGGUGCUUCAUCAGAGGAUCCCCAGGAUUUUCUUUUCAGUUGUCACGAGAUCCUUAGGACUAUGGUUAUAGUGGAGACCAAGGGGGUCGAUUUUUGCACCUUCUGGCUUGCAAGAUCCGCCAAGACUUGGUGGAGAGAUUAUUGCCUAUUUAGACCAGCAGUAUCUCCAGCUUUGACAUAGGAUCAAUUUGCGGAGUUAUUCUUUGAGAAGUUUCUCAUUGUCACUCAGUGGGAGGCACUUUGUAGAUAGUUUGAGUGCCUCCAGUAGGGCUCCAUGAUAGUUACACAGUAUGAGACUAGAUUUAUUGAUUUGGCACGCCAUGCAGUUGUGAUACUCCCUACGGAGCGAGAGAGGGUUCAGAUAUUCAUUGAUGGAUUGAUUUAGCCGAUCUGUCUUUAGAUUGCCAUGGGAGUUGGUAGUGAUAUUUCCUUUCAGGAGGCGGCCAAUGCGAACCACCAGGUAGAGAUAGCACUUGCACGAGGAGGUGGUCAGGGGUCAUAAAAGAGGCCUCGUCAUUCUGGUAGGUUCAGUGGUACCUCAUUUGGAGGUAGGGAUUCAUAUGACAGAGGCCACCCUCAGAGGCCCUUUCAGUCAGCACUUCAGGUUUCACACGAUAGCACGGGCGGUAGCGGUUCUCAGCAUCACCACUCUGAUCAGCAGCCUAUUAGUGCACUACCACUUCAAAGCCUUCGAGGAGGUCAUUCAAGGAGUCAGGGUCAGCCCCAGUCUUCUUAGUUGCCACAUUCUACUAGGUGUUAUGAGUGUGGAUAUCUCGUUCACAUGAGGAGAUAUUGCCCGAGGAUGAGAGGUGCUCGAUCAUAACAGCAAGGUCCUCGUCCUAUGAUUCAGGCAGCAGGUGAUCCACAGGCCGCCCAGCCAGCUAGAGGCGAGGGUACGGUCGAUAGAGGUGGAUGUAGGGAGCAUAGAGGUAUAGCUCAGACCUCUAAAGGCAGGGGUCAGCCAGUAGUAGAUCAUCCCAGAGACACAGUUUAGGGAGAUGGGGGGCAGCCCCAUUAUUAAGCUUUGUCGGCCAGGCCAGAAGCCGAGUCAUCAGAUGCUAUGAUUACAGGUACUAUUCUGGUCUCUGAUAGGGGUGCUUAUGUGUUAUUUGAUCUGGGAUCUACGUAUUCAUAUGUGUCAUCUAACUUGUUGAGAAGCCUGUGGAGCACCUAGCACCUGAAUCAUAGGACGGGAACCCUGCUGCUGCGACUGAGCAUCUCUCAACCUCGGGCAAUCCCUCCUGAUGUGACCAUACUCACCACACUCAUAACACCCGCAUGAAUACUGUAACUAAGAAGAUUUAUACUGAGCAUGUCGACCUGAAUGACCACCUCAGAAGCUCUAAAGUGGUGGUUCACUUAUAGGAGCUAGUGGGGCACUAUAAGGCUGUUGAUAAGAAUAAUGCAGCUGAGAACCACGACCACCUGAAUCACCAUAAGAGACCUAUAGAGCCGACUGAACGGGCCUAGAAGGAUGGCCUCUACCAUAAGAAUCUCUACCUCCAGAUGAGGUACCACUGAAUCUACCUAAAUGACGGGGCCUUUUGUCCAACCCAUGACCACCUCCGUGUUACAAAGCCAUCUCAACCCUACUGGCCGCAUUGGCCGCCUCCUGAAAGGUGAUCUCGCUCUCGGCUCAUAUUGCCAUCUGGAGACGAAUCGGCUGAAUUAAACCAUCAAUAAACCUCCUUACCCUCCCUCUCUCGGUGGGGAGUAUGACAAUAGCAUGGCAAGCUAGACCAAUGAACCGGGUCUCAUAUUGAGUGACUGUUAUGGAGCCCUACUGAAGGCGCUCAAACUACCUGCGAAGAGCCUCUCACUGAGUAACUAGGAGAAACUUCUCCAUAAAUAACUCCGAAAAUUGCUCCCAAGUUGAAGAAGGCGACCCUGCUGGUUUGGCUAAGCAAUAAUCUCUCCACCAAGUCUUGGCAGAUCCAGAUAGAUGAAAUGUGGUGAAAUCGACUCCAUUGGUCUCAACAAUUCCCAUGUUUCGAUGAACCUCGUGGCAGCUAUAUAACAAAUCCUGAGGGUCCUCUGAAGAAGCACCGCUGAAAAUGGUGGUGAAGAGCUUGGUGAAUAUAUCCAGCCUCCACAAUGCAUCCGCGGACAUAGCCACUCCAUUGGCGGUCUGAGUGAUUGUACCUGGCUUAACUAUCACACCUAGAUGAACCACUAGAACCUGAGCAUGGGGAGCUACCUGCUCUGGAGUACGUGUAGCAGGAGUUUGAACCCCUUCUCUAGCCUAAGAAGUGGCUGGUUCUAUUGGAAGCAAACCCGCUCUGGUUACACUCUCCAUAAGCCCUACCAAUAUGACCAAAGCGUCUUGAAGAACGCGGGCAUCAAUAAAUCCCUCUAGGGCCUGAGCUAGGACCACCGGAGAUGCUAGGGCUGGAAUCUCUUUGUCAUAAUCAAUCUGAGGCUCUGCCACUGAGGCUGUUGCUCGAGGUUGAGCUCUGCCCCUGCCUCGGCCUUUGGCAUGACCUCAGCCUCGCCCUCUACCCCUUGUAGGAACUGUUGUUGGGGGCUCGGGCUGCUGCACGGUAGAAGAGGAAGUGCGUGUUCUCGCCAUAUGCGAAAGAACAUAGUAUAAAGACAAUUAGUAUUUGAGAAACAAAACUGCACGACAAGGUAGAACAAAAUGUGAAGUUUUCCCUAACUAUGUAGCCUCUGGGGGGGAUAAAUACAGAUGUCUCUGUACCUAUCUCUCAGACUCUACCAAGUUUGUCCGUGAAUUGUGAGACCUAUAUAAUCAAACAGCUCUGAUACCAACUGUCACGACCCGGAAUUCCUACCCUCGUGAGUCGUGAUGGCGCCUACUUGUGGAAGCUACGCAAGCCAGUAACCUUCACAACAUUAACCUAUCUCCUUUAUUCCAUGAUUAAAACCUAUUAAAUAACUGAUAAUUAAGCAAUUAAAAGACUGUGAUUUAACAAGAUAGCGGAAGUCUGAAUUGAAAUAACAACAAAGUCUAAAAAACAUCCAUAUAGGUCUCUACCCAGCAUCUGGUGUCACAACAUUUCACAGACUAUCUAAGAGUACUAAAUACAAGAGUCUGAACAAUGAAAUAAAAACACUCUCUCAGAUACAAAAGGAAACAGUGCAUAAAUAGAGAGAAGACAUGUCAAGCAUACGGACACAUGCGGGACUACCUCGGGAUCUCGUGGACGAAGGAUGGCUCCCCGGCUACUGCUGCACUCCGUAAGGCGCUCUAGUAUCUGCACAUAAGUUUAGAGUGAAGCAUCAGUACAACCAACCUCAUAUGUUGGUAAGUGAAUGGCCUAAACCCGAUGAGGUAGUGAUGAGGCUAGGAACAAAUUCCAGAUAAACUGCAGUUACAUAUAAUAUAUGGUGGAAAAGUAUACAGGCAAUAAGCAGUAGAAGGGAGGGGGUACGUGCUUCAGGGGAACAAUUUAAUCUAGCAUAAAUCAAGUAAAUAGGAAGGACAAUACUGUAUUUGAAACAAUAAAAUACUACUAGUGUUGCGGCGCGUAACCCGAUCCAUAUGCAUAUUAUAGUUGUUGCGGCGUGCAAGCCGAUCCAACAUAUAAAUAUUUCCAUUAAUAAAGAUGUUACGGCGCGCAACCCGUUCUAAAUGUAAAACUUACAGUGAUCACAACAACAAUCCCAACAAGGGACUAACCAUAAAUUAUACUAUCUCGGCAAGGGAACUCAACAACAUAAGUAUAAACUUCCUGACAAGGGAGAAUCAGCUAUAACCAAAUCUCAGUUCAGCUUCUAAACAUCACUACUAUCAUCAUUUUCAAUUCUUGAAUACUUCUACGAAAAUAACCUAAGCCUUUGCCUAGCACCACGGGUUUUCCCAAUAUUUCAAUCAUAAUAGUAUUCAAGAAUGCACAAGUAUCAAUUUAAGACCCACGGUCAUGUUUGACACCAACGCAUAGAUACUCGUCACCAUGCCUAUACAUCGUACCCAACAAGAAACACAUAGCAAAUAUGACUAAAUCCUAAUCCCUCAAGUUAAGGUUAGACUGAACACUUACCUCAAACUUCCACGACCAAUUCAUUCCUCAAUUACCGCUUUUCCUCUCGAACUCGGCUCCAACUCAAUCAAAUAUAUACAAAAAUGAUUUUAUAUUAUCAAUAUAUGCCAAGCAAAUCAAACCCAAUGCCCAAAUAUAGAUUUCCAAGCUUUCUUCCCAAAAUUCCAAAAUUUGACCCUGAGCCCGCUUGGUCAGAACACGAGGUUCAGACCAAAUUCACAUCACCCAUUCCCCCACGAGCCCGAAUAUAUAAUUUAUUUUCAAAUUUGACCCCAAAACGAGGUCUAAAACAAGAAAAAUCCAAAAGCCCUAGCUCUACCCAUUUUCCCCAAUUUCUACCCUAAAUUACAUGUUUUAGGCCUAGUAAUUCAUUAGAGGUUGAAGGAAAUGAAAGGAAACAAGUAAAGGAUUACAAACCCACAGAGUUUUGGUGAAGAAUCGCUUCAAAAGUCAUUCCAAGAGGUGUGGAGAAUAAGAAGUUAUGAAAUUUUGAUGUUGGUCGCAAUGGUUCUGUUCUUGAUCUUUUAAAUAACUGGGCAAAUUUGCUCUAUGUGAUCUCGGAAGAGGGAUUGCAAUGCAUAGGGUAAGGUUUGAUAUGCACUAAGAUCGCGGACUUGUGAAUGCGAUCACAUAGGAGGAUAAAAUGAAGGUUGGUUUUUUGUGCAUUGCGAUCGCAGAGAGUAGGGUGCGAUCACAUAGAAUAAAGUGGCUGAGGUACGCGAUUGCAGAGAAUACUAUGUGAUCGCAUAGAACAAAACUGGGCAUUUAAGAUUUACACUAUGCGAUCACGGAAACUCCUAUGCGAUCACAUAGAACAACAUACCAAAACACCAGAAAUGAAUAUUUCUGCAACUUUUAUAAGUUUGAAAACACUCCGAAACACUCCCGAGCCCUCGGGGCUCCUAACCAAUCUCACACACUGACUCAACCACAUCCGACAAACUUAACCGUAUGAUCAAAUCGCCAAAAUAACAUAAAAAAUGAGGAAUCAAAUCUCAAAAUUAUUACUUUAUCACCAAACUUCAUAAACCUUUAUUUUUAGAUAUUUAAGUCCGAAACACGUCAAAUGACGUUCGAUUUCAACCAAACUUCACAAAAAUGUCUUAAAACACAUAUAAGACCUGUACCAGGCGCUACAACCAAAAUACGGGCCCGAUACCAACAUGUUCUAAUCCAUUUUUAUUUUAUAUUUUCUUAAUAAUUUCAGAAAAAUAAUUUCUUUUAAAAGUUCAUUUCUCGGGCUCGGGACCUCGGAUUUCAAUUCCGGUCAUACGCCUGAGUUUCAUAUUUUUUUACGGACUCUCAGGGACCGUCAAAUCACUAGUCCGGGUCUAUUUACCAAAAAUGUUGACCAAAGUCAACUUUACUCAUUUUAAUACCAAAUUUUAGCAUUUUUCACAGAAUUUCGAAUAUAAGCUUUCUGGCUAUGCGUCUGUACUGCACGCGCAAAUUGAGAAAACUAAAAAUGAGGUUUUCAAAGCCUCAAAAGCACGUAAUGGGAGAGAAAAUAGGUGAAGACACUUUGGGUCAUCACACAUGCAAAGGGGUUAAGUGAAAGGACCUUAUAGAAGAGUUUAGCAGAAAGUCAGAAUCAUAUAAUGAAACAAAAGAUUUUGAAAUUCGGUCGAGCAACAAAUGAAGCCACUUCAGGAACUUUAAUAGGUUAAAAGGAAAUAGGGUUUUAAAACCCAUCAAAUUUAGAGCAUGAUUAACAAGUAAAUCACAUAGCAAAUAGUCUAUGGACUCGAAUGAACCCCAAAUCUUAGGGUUUUCACCAUCAAUCGAGUAUUGACGAAAAACAAGUACAUCGGGAAAAAAUAUCAACAAAAUAAAGUUAGAACCCUCGAGAAGGAACUAAGACUUUUAACAUAAAGAAACAUAGAAGAAGAACAACAUAAGAAACACAGUAGAAGAAUCAACAUAAGAAACACAGUGGAAGAACAACAUAAGAAACAUAGUAGAACACACCAAAAGUCAGAGAAGGCUUUGAACUAACUUAACAAAACCCUAAAUCGAAAAAGAUAAAGGUUUUGAAGGCAGAGUUUUGAAAGAAACGUUGAGAAAACAUUUGAAAGGUUAAGGUAAAUACAAAUCUAGAACAGAUCUAAAGAAAUUAGAAGAAUCUCAAAAUAUAAGGUUUGAGAAAAACCCAGAUGGUGAGAAAGGCUUGGAAAGUCAUUGAUCUAAGUAGGAGAAGUCAAGAUCAGGCUUGCUCAAUAAUGGUUGGCCGGGGCAAGGUCGGAGACAGCCAUAUAAUUGAGAUCAACCAAAGUCUGGGCCAAUAUUCUUCAAGGUCUGGCCUUGAAACUCAGAUAAUCGAGCAUGUAGGAGACAUAGGAGGCAGGUACAGGCUUUUAACGGCUUUGGAAGCCAUGGAUUCAGGUUAUUUUAGGGUGGAAGCAGAGGGAGGCGGCUAGGGCUUGACUGGAGCUUGAGAGGGAAUUGAGAGGAGGGGAAAUUCAAGGGCGGCUAUAGGUGAGAAA